rnacentral:tRNA from 1 species
GGGUGUGACUCAGUGGUAGAGUGUGUGCCUAGUACAUGUGAGGCCCUGGGUUCAAAUCUCAGCAACUCCA